rnacentral:rRNA from 1 species
GAUGAACGCUGGCGGCGUGCCUAAUACAUGCAAGUCGAACGCAUAGCGAAAGGUGCUUGCACCUUUCAAGUGAGUGGCGAACGGGUGAGUAACACGUGGACAACCUGCCUCAAGGCUGGGGAUAACAUUUGGAAACAGAUGCUAAUACCGAAUAAAACUUAGUGUCGCAUGACACAAAGUUAAAAGGCGCUUCGGCGUCACCUAGAGAUGGAUCCGCGGUGCAUUAGUUAGUUGGUGGGGUAAAGGCCUACCAAGACAAUGAUGCAUAGCCGAGUUGAGAGACUGAUCGGCCACAUUGGGACUGAGACACGGCCCAAACUCCUACGGGAGGCUGCAGUAGGGAAUCUUCCACAAUGGGCGAAAGCCUGAUGGAGCAACGCCGCGUGUGUGAUGAAGGCUUUCGGGUCGUAAAGCACUGUUGUAUGGGAAGAACAGCUAGAAUAGGAAAUGAUUUUAGUUUGACGGUACCAUACCAGAAAGGGACGGCUAAAUACGUGCCAGCAGCCGCGGUAAUACGUAUGUCCCGAGCGUUAUCCGGAUUUAUUGGGCGUAAAGCGAGCGCAGACGGUUUAUUAAGUCUGAUGUGAAAGCCCGGAGCUCAACUCCGGAAUGGCAUUGGAAACUGGUUAACUUGAGUGCAGUAGAGGUAAGUGGAACUCCAUGUGUAGCGGUGGAAUGCGUAGAUAUAUGGAAGAACACCAGUGGCGAAGGCGGCUUACUGGACUGCAACUGACGUUGAGGCUCGAAAGUGUGGGUAGCAAACAGGAUUAGAUACCCUGGUAGUCCACACCGUAAACGAUGAACACUAGGUGUUAGGAGGUUUCCGCCUCUUAGUGCCGAAGCUAACGCAUUAAGUGUUCCGCCUGGGGAGUACGACCGCAAGGUUGAAACUCAAAGGAAUUGACGGGGACCCGCACAAGCGGUGGAGCAUGUGGUUUAAUUCGAAGCAACGCGAAGAACCUUACCAGGUCUUGACAUCCUUUGAAGCUUUUAGAGAUAGAAGUGUUCUCUUCGGAGACAAAGUGACAGGUGGUGCAUGGUCGUCGUCAGCUCGUGUCGUGAGAUGUUGGGUUAAGUCCCGCAACGAGCGCAACCCUUAUUGUUAGUUGCCAGCAUUCAGAUGGGCACUCUAGCGAGACUGCCGGUGACAAACCGGAGGAAGGCGGGGACGACGUCAGAUCAUCAUGCCCCUUAUGACCUGGGCUACACACGUGCUACAAUGGCGUAUACAACGAGUUGCCAACCCGCGAGGGUGAGCUAAUCUCUUAAAGUACGUCUCAGUUCGGAUUGUAGUCUGCAACUCGACUACAUGAAGUCGGAAUCGCUAGUAAUCGCGGAUCAGCACGCCGCGGUGAAUACGUUCCCGGGUCUUGUACACACCGCCCGUCACACCAUGGGAGUUUGUAAUGCCCAAAGCCGGUGGCCUAACCUUUUAGGAAGGAGCCGUCUAAGGCAGGACAGAUGACUGGGGUGAAG